rnacentral:rRNA from 1 species
UACGGGGGGGGCAAGCGUUGUUCGGAAUUACUGGGCGUAAAGGGCUCGUAGGUGGCCAACUAAGUCAUACGUGAAAUCCCUCGGCUUAACCGGGGAACUGCGUCUGAUACUGGAUGGCUUGAGGUUGGGAGAGGGAUGCGGAAUUCCAGGUGUAGCGGUGAAAUGCGUAGAUAUCUGGAGGAACACCGGUGGCGAAGGCGGCAUCCUGGACCGAUACUGACGCUGAGGAGCGAAAGCCAGGGGAGCAAACGGG